AGAGUUUGAUCCUGGCUCAGAAUGAACGCUGGCGGCAUGCCUUACACAUGCAAGUCGAACGGUAACAGGUCUUCGGAUGCUGACGAGUGGCGAACGGGUGAGUAAUACAUCGGAACGUGCCCGAGAGUGGGGGAUAACGAAGCGAAAGCUUUGCUAAUACCGCAUACGAUCUCAGGAUGAAAGCAGGGGACCGCAAGGCCUUGCGCUCACGGAGCGGCCGAUGGCAGAUUAGGUAGUUGGUGGGAUAAAAGCUUACCAAGCCGACGAUCUGUAGCUGGUCUGUGAGGACGACCAGCCACACUGGGACUGAGACACGGCCCAGACUCCUACGGGAGGCAGCAGUGGGGAAUUUUGGACAAUGGGCGCAAGCCUGAUCCAGCCAUGCCGCGUGCAGGAUGAAGGCCUUCGGGUUGUAAACUGCUUUUGUACGGAACGAAAAGACUCUGGUUAAUACCUGGGGUCCAUGACGGUACCGUAAGAAUAAGCACCGGCUAACUACGUGCCAGCAGCCGCGGUAAUACGUAGGGUGCGAGCGUUAAUCGGAAUUACUGGGCGUAAAGCGUGCGCAGGCGGUUAUAUAAGACAGAUGUGAAAUCCCCGGGCUCAACCUGGGAACUGCA
rnacentral:rRNA from 1 species